rnacentral:rRNA from 1 species
CUACGGGACGCUGCAGUGAGGAAUAUUGGUCAAUGGCCGAGAGGCUGAACCAGCCAUCCCGCGUGCAGGAUGACGGCCCUAUGGGUUGUAAACUGCUUUUCUACGCCAAGAAAUCUGAUUACGUGUAAUUAGUUGACGGUAGCGUAGGAAUAAGCAUCGGCUAACUCCGUGCCAGCAGUCGCGGUAAUACGGAGGAUGCAAGCGUUAUCCGGAUUCAUUGGGUUUAAAGGGUGCGCAGGCGGGCUUGUAAGUCAGUGGUGAAAUACUGCCGCUUAACGGUAGAACUGCCAUUGAUACUGCAAGUCUUGAAUAUGGUUGAGGUAGGCGGAAUGUGUUGUGUAGCGGUGAAAUGCAUAGAUAUGACACAGAACGCCGAUUGCGAAGGCAGCUUACUAAGCCAUUAUUGACGCUGAGGCACGAAAGCGUGGGGAGCGAACAGGAUUAGAUACCCUGGUAGUC